ensembl:lncRNA
CGGGGCGGGGGGGGUGGAUUCGCAAUUCGCGAGCGGAGCCGACCGCUUCCGACUGCGGCGGAUCCAGGCUGGGGCCAGCGCGGCGUCCCCGCCAGACAACCGCUGCCUGCCUAUUGGGCUCGGCUCAGGUGGUUUUAUCUGUUUCUAAUGUAUUCUGGGUACGGAGGCGUCCUGAUCAGAAUCUUAGAGAAAGGCGAGGGAAGGAAAUGCACUCCCUGCUCCACCCCUUUGCAGACCUCCCCCAGGGCCUUGGAGCCCAGUCCCCGGAGCAGAAGACUGAAGCACAUAGGAAAAUGGAAGACAGAAGAGAGGAACGGACAGGGCAGAGUUAGCGCUCCCACCGAGUGACUCCAAAGGAUUCCUAGAAAAGAUGCAGCUUUCAAAGGCGACUGCAGUGAGGAGUAUCUGUGAACAAUUUCAAGAAUCACUUCUGAAGAAAUACCAGUACAGAAAUUAUUAUGAUUUGCAAUCACACCUGUGUGUACUGAACAACAUGACCUGUGAAAUCCUGCAGUAUAUUAUAGAAGAAGCACAUAAGGAGUGAUAUGGCACAUUCUCAAUUGAGGAUAACUUAUGAAAAACAUUUUAUCCAUUGGACACCUCUUCUUUUUUUUUUGAUAAUUUUCAUACAGUCUUAAUCUAGGUUAUCCAUUUCAGUCAUGUAGUUUGAGAGCAUAAAUAUAGCAAUCACAAAACCAAAAGUAUGUUCAAUACUUUGAAAUUAUUAUUGCUAAUUUUCUUGAUCAUUUUCUAAAUAAUGGAUAAUUAAAUAUUUUCAAGUAUCCACUAUACUUUGUACAAAACUGUACAAAAACAGUGAAAUAUAAUCCUUUGCAUAUACACUCACAUAUACACACUCAUAUUUAUAAAUAUCAAAUGGCAAUGAAUGAUGAAAUAUAAAAACACAAGGACAAAGUCCAUUCCUUUGAUAAAAUAGUAUUUCCAAUUUUACAAUGUAUUCCAGCUACCUGUGGUCAUGUACACCUGUAAUCCCAGUACUCAGAAGGCUGAGGCAGGAAGCUCACCAUGAGUUCAAGGGGAGCAUGGGCUACAUAGUGAGUUCAAGGCCAGCCUGAACUACAUAACAAGACCCUACCUUAAAAACAUAUUCAAAUCAAAUCAAAUGCAUUCCAUAGUGGUUUUACUAAUAUACAUUUCCACCUACAGUGUAGCAGGGUUCUUUUGUCCCCACAGCUUUGCCAGUACCAACUAUUUGUUAUUGAUUGUUUGAUGAUAGCCGUUCUUUCAGGAGUGAAAUGAAAUCUCAGUGUUGUCAUUUGCAUUUCUCUAAUGAUCAGUGAUGUUGAACAUUUAUGCGUUUUAUUGGCCAUUUAUGCUUCAUGUAAGAAGUGUCUAUUCAUUUCAGAUGUCCAUCUUUUGAUUGGGUCUUUUAUUUUGGGGGCUCUAAUUUUUUUGAGUUCUUUAUAUGUUAUAAAUGGAGAACUAAAAAAAAAAAAACUAAAGUAGAAAUUCCAUCUGAUCCAGCUAUGUGUCUUCUCACAAGAGUGAAAGAUGUCAUAUUGCAGUGAUAUGCAUUAAUAUGUUUAUAGCAGCACAAAUUAUAAUAGCUAAAUCUUGAAUGUUAUAUGUUCAUGAACAGAUGAAUGGUUAAAAACGAUGUGAUAUUUAUAUACAUAAUGAAGUAAUUUUCUGCCAUGAAGAAGGAUAAAACUUGAGUAAUUUGUAGGAAAAUGGAUGCACUUUGAGACCAUAAUGUUAACCAAAAUGAAUCAGACACACAAGCUUAGAUAUUGCAUGAUUUCUCUUAUAUGUGAACCCCAAAAUUCAAAUAAAGAACAAAAGAAUAAAUAGAUAAUAGGAAUGAGAGUGAUCAUUCUUUCUCAAAUGAGAAGGGGGCCAAGAAAUGGAGGGAGGAAAAGAGGGAGGGAAAAUGGUGAAAAUA